GAUGAACGCUGGCGGCGUGCCUAAUACAUGCAAGUCGAGCGAACAGACGAGGAGCUUGCUCCUCUGACGUUAGCGGCGGACGGGUGAGUAACACGUGGAUAACCUACCUAUAAGACUGGGAUAACUUCGGGAAACCGGAGCUAAUACCGGAUAAUAUAUUGAACCGCAUGGUUCAAUAGUGAAAGACGGUUUUGCUGUCACUUAUAGAUGGAUCCGCGCCGCAUUAGCUAGUUGGUAAGGUAACGGCUUACCAAGGCUACGAUGCGUAUCCGACCUGAGAGGGUGAUCGGCCACACUGGAACUGAGACACGGUCCAGACUCCUACGGGAGGCAGCAGUAGGGAAUCUUCCGCAAUGGGCGAAAGCCUGACGGAGCAACGCCGCGUGAGUGAUGAAGGUCUUCGGAUCGUAAAACUCUGUUAUUAGGGAAGAACAAAUGUGUAAGUAACUAUGCACGUCUUGACGGUACCUAAUCAGAAAGCCACGGCUAACUACGUG
rnacentral:rRNA from 1 species